ACUGCAAGGCUGAGGUGAACCUCUGGCCUUCCAGUUGAGGUACAGGGGUCCUUUGCUGGCCCCAGAUGUGGACAGUAUCCUCUCGAAUGCCCACCACUGGGAACCCUUAAGUCCCUCAAGUUGGGGAGACUUUUAGACAAAGAAGCCACAUUAUACAGAACAGCCAUUGUCCCUUGAUGCAGUGUGGGGCUUCCUUUCUGACCCAGUGUAGAAGGAGAGUCAAAGCAAGCACGGAAAUCUUUCCUCAGCCUCGGCCAGUCCUAUCUCAGCAGUAGUGGCCGGUGUUAAGUAUGGUGCCUAGAAAAUUACAGACUAUUCCAGACCAGGAAGGAAAGUUGACUUCAUCUUCAGAUACUCAGGCUCCAGCCUGGAGACAUCUCAUCUCUCCUCUGUCACUCCUUCCCCAUUAUUAAAGUUUGUGGAUGUUCCUUAGAGUCUCCCAGACCUGUCUUGGCUUUAAGGCUGUUACGAAGAAUGCAGAUGAACAGCAUUCGUGGAAAAGAUGCACGGAGCGAGGCCUGUGGGGAGGGGAGCAGAGCUUCCAUGCCCUCCCUGCAUGCACCACCCUCCAGGAACCUCCACAUGUUCAGCUGUCUGGAAGCUCUUCCGAACCCUGUCCAUUUGAACUGUUAUGGAGGCUUCAUUACAUAGUGAUUCGGAGUGUGUCAAGGACCUGGUUAAUCAUGGAAUGAGGUUCCCUAAAGACAAAACACGUCAGGCCAGGCAUAAUGGCUCACACCUAUAAUCUCAGCACUUUGGGAGGCCA
rnacentral:lncRNA from 1 species